CAUUUACCGAAAGCAGUCCCCUAUGGUUCAACUUCUCGUUCAUUCUCACCCGGCCUGAAUUCGGCAUCUAUAAAAUGGGGGUGAUCCUGUCUCACAGGGUCACUGGAAGGAGAGUUUUCUACUGGGUCUCUGGAGCAAGCUUUGCUCAACCAAAACAGGCUGCCUUUCAUGGUCUCACACAGCCAGGCAUGGAACAGGCAGCCACUGUGUUCCUGAAGUGAGACCAGCAUCUGACCGUCUAUGAUCUGGGCUGGACUCACAACAUGGACAAUGUGUGAGGAUGGACGUGUCCGGGGGCCACCUGUCUCUGCAUCUUGGGCCAUUCAGAGCUCCGGGCCAAGUUGUUGUGAAGAACGACAUUUCUCUGUAGGCCGUUAUGGUGAAAAGGAGUUUAGCAGACAAGGGCUCAGGACAUGCCCCUUCUGUGCCCUGGCAGAGUGUGAUGUCAUCAGCAAAGCCAGCAGGUAUGUAGGGGGUCAGAGGACAGGGUGUCAACUCUCAUCUCCUCACCUUAUUUGAGACCGUUUCGUUGCCGGUGUGUGUGCCAGGCUACUGAGGAUUGCCCUGUGUCUGCUUCCCGUUCCCUAGUAGGGAUUACGUAGAUCUACACGGCUGCAUCUAGCUUGUACAUGGGCUUUAGGGGUCUGAACUCCAGCUGUCAGCUUCUGUGUCAAUCACAUUGUCUCCUGAACCAUCUUCCCAGCCCCAUACUCCUUGCCCUUGCUUUGAUGGUCAUCAAGGCUGUGGUAGCGGUCACGUGACUCUAAGUCCUAUUCUCUUUGCCGUAAGGUCCUCCCUUCCGUGACUGCACUGCGUGGCUUUUCCCUGUUUUCCUGCGGUUGGACUUCAGGGCCUUGUGCAUAGGAGGCGAGCACUCCAACACUGAGAGACACUGCCCUCGAUGGCUGUCUCUGAAUCAGAUCCGAUAACCAAACACAGGCAUCCCCAUCUCUAAAAACCUUCUGAGAUUGCAUCGGAGAUAAUGGAAGGCGCCUCCGCCUCUGGAGUUUAAAAGGAGUUUUGCCUAGCAAGGAGCAUUAGCAGCCCUCAAACCUUCGAGGCGGGAGAAGCAGGCUGUGAGCUGAGCCUUAGGGAAAACCUCCAGUCCCCAGAAUCCUUCUGGGUCCCCUCCACCGUUACCAAGGAAACCAACAAAUCGGGAAGCUCCUUAGCAUACCGCGCCAGUAAAAGAGAAGCAGCGUUCACCCCAUUUCUCUUCCCAUUUAAACUCUUUCCAAAGCCCAGUCCUGUUCGCGUGACUCUGGCUGGGGAAGGCUGAAUCGCAUCUGAAAGUCUUCCUUGCAAGAGGGUUAUAGGGAAAUUGGUUUUCUUUUCCUGGCUUCUUGGUAUAAAAAGGCACGCGUGAAGGAGGUUGGAAUAAAUGUUG
rnacentral:lncRNA from 1 species